GUCGGGUGUGAAAUCUCGGAGCUUAACUCCGAAACUGCAUUCGAUACUGCCGUGCUUGAGGACUGGAGAGGAGACUGGAAUUUACGGUGUAGCGGUGAAAUGCGUAGAUAUCGUAAGGAAGACCAGUGGCGAAGGCGGGUCUCUGGACAUUACCUGACGCUGAGGAGCGAAAGUGUGGGGAGCGAACAGG
rnacentral:rRNA from 1 species